AAAGUGUGCGCGGGGAAAUUCUUUGUUGACGUCCAGGUUCGGCAUUAAGUAGCAGCACAACCAGACUGGGUUUACUGUUAGAAACAUCCACUAAAUUUGGUUUGUCUGCACAUAUUUGGGUAAUUAUGUCGAUUUCAAACGAGGCGGAUUUACCACCGAACUUGUCAUGUCUGAAAACUAUAGACACCUUGCUCCGAUGUCCAAUUUGCUUUGACUUCUUGAACAUAUCCAUGAUGACGCAGUGUUCUCAUAACUUUUGUUCCCUGUGUAUUCGAAAGUUUCUUUCCUACAAAUUAUUGUGUCCUGUUUGCAACACUCCAAUGACAGAACAGGAUCUGAGGAACAACCGGAUUUUAGAUGACAUUGUUCAGAGCUUCCAAACUGCACGGCAACAGUUGUCACAGGCGAAUUUUGACUCCCCUCCGAUUUCCCCCAAGACCCCCUCUGUGGCUUUGAAAGGCAAAGCAGCAAGACAGAAGUGCCCCAGGAAAGAGGGCACCCCUCUGACGCACUUUUUCCACAAACGGCCUCCUGCGACCCCCUCAUCAGGGGUACAGACAAACCCCAUUCUUUCCUGCCCAGUGAAAGAGGAGCCCAUGGAGGUGUGUGUGCAGGUCCUGGGAGAUCUAAAGCGGGAGAGCACUGAAGCUCAGAGUGCAAGGGUGAAGGAGGAAAAGAUGGAUGUGUCUGCUUUCCCCUCCACAUCACAGGUUGCUAAUCCAGUGGUCAAAGUGGAGUGUCCAGUAUGUGGAGUGGGUGUGUCUCAGCAGCACAUUAACAAACAUCUGGAUACUUGUCUGAUGAGAGGGGAGAAGAAGGAAGGCCUCAGAAGGUCUGACCAGCUAGGCUCUCCCAGUUCUGCAAUUGUAGUGCCCAACUCUGGAAAGCGCAGGCCAAUGGCUAAGGUGGUGUACACUUUGCUAACUAUGGCUGAGCUCAAGAGAAGGCUAAGAGAGUGCCACCUACCUACCCAGGGCUCCAGAGAUCAGCUCAUCAGACGACACCAGGAGUUCACCCAUAUCUACAAUGCUCAGUGUGACGCACUGAACCCCAGAUCAAGUGAGGACAUUGCUAAAGAGGUCGAAAACAAUGAGAAAAUAAAGAAUCAACUGGAUACUAAAAGUAAACCUGCAAUAGCCAUCACAAAGAACCAAACAGCUGAAGAAAUUGAACAGUUGCACGCAAACUACCGGAAACAACACAGCAGUGAGUUUUCCCGUCUCAUCACCCAAGUCAGAGGUCGUAUGGAGACGUCUAGAAGGACCCAGAUAAAGCAAGAAGAAGGGAAGUCAGUGGAGGCGUCGUGUUCAGAAGCUGCAACAGUCCUGAGCUCUGCUCAGACACCAGUUUCCACAGUGCUGAAAGUGGCCAAUCAUGAGAAGACUUCAGUUAUAGAAAUUACAUCAAGGUCACCAAGUCCCACCCUGAGUGAAGUGUCAGUCAGCAGUUGCAGACUGUAGAUUUCACUUUUACACCACUGUCUGACACAGUGAUGUCAGAACUGGCUCAAGAAACGGAGAAGAGAGGUCAGCGCUCUUCAAAAGGUGACAAAAGAAAGCAGCAAGCUGCCGUGAAACACAGCUCCAUUUCUGAUGUUUUCAACUGAGGACCUUGUAGAAGUGCUCAGAAGCCCUGGAGAACGGUCUAAGAGGCUAACGCACAGCCACAGGCUCCAGGGAGUAAUAGACACUGUACCUGCAGGUGAAAUGCACUCACUCAAAGCUGAGCUUGGUGGAAAGAACCAGUGUGACUCCUGGACUCAAUGUAAAAUGAAUGAUGAAGCUUUUAUACCUUUGUGUAAUGUCUGUAUUCAUUAUGAGUUUUGUACAUAGUGUAUUUUUAAAUAAAACUGUUCAGAUAAACUA